rnacentral:ncRNA from 1 species
GAGAAGAGGCGCACCCAGAGCGUACACGUUGGGACACGAAAGAUGGUGAACUAUGCCUGGCCAGGUCGAAGUCAGGGGAAACACUAAUGGAGGUCCGUAGCGAUUCUGACGUGCAAAUCGAUCGUCGGAACUGGGUAUAGGGGAGAAAGACUAAUCGAACCAUGUGGUAGCUAGUUCUCUCCGAAGUUUCGCUCAGGAUAGUUGGCACUCGACCGUUCCCGCACGGAACGCGAACAAGUCUCAUCUGGUAAAGCGAAUGAUUAGAGGCCUUGGGGCCGAAACGACCUCAACCUAUUCUCAAACGAUAAAUUGGUGAGACAUCUGGCUUUCUUGAAACUUGAAGCCACGAGCAUCUUACUCUCGGAUCAGAGUGCCAAGUAGGCCAUUUUUGGUAAGCAGAACUGGCGCUGUGGGAUGAACCAAACGCAGAGUUAAGACGCCCAACUCGACGCUCAUGGGACACCAUGAAAGGCGUUGAUUGUUUAGGACAGCAGGACGGUGGCCAUGGAAGUCGGAAUCCGCUAUGGAGUGUGUAACAACUCACCUGCCGAAGCAACUAUCCCUGAAAAUGGAUGGCGCUGAAGCGUCGAGCCUAUACUCUGCCGUCAGGGGCAAGUAGGGCGGUGCGAGCGCGCGAUCGCGGGCGCCGUCAAGAAACCCUGACGAAUAGGAGGGUCGCGGCGGUGUGCGCAGAAGGGUCUGGGCCCGAGCCUGCCUGGAGCUGCCGUCGGUGCAGAUUUUGGUGGUAGUAGCAAAUACUCCUGCGAGGCCCUGGAGGACUGACGUGGAGAAGGGCUUUGUGUGAACAGCCGUUGCACACGAGUCAGUCGAUCAUAAGCCCUAGGAGAAUUCCAAUGUCAAUGACGACGUACUUAUACUCAAAUGUUUACUCUUUGCUUCGUCUUGCACUCUCUCGCUCGUCGCGCGUGACGCGCGCGCCCGCGUGCCGGGCGACGCUGUACGUCGCGCUGAACGACGAGGUGGUGCAUGCGCGAGCUCAAGUGUUGUGACACACGCCCGUCGGGCGAAAGGAAUCUGGUUCCUAUUCCGGAACCCGGCAGCGGAACCGCAUCAAAUUUGGGCCCCGUAAGAGUGUUCGUCGGGGUAACCCAAAAUGACCUGGAGACGCCGUCGGGAGAUCUGGGAAGAGUUUUCUUUUCUGUAUAAGCCUUCGAGUUCCCUGGAAACUUUUAGCAGGGAGAUAGGGUUUAGAUCGCGAAGAGCACCGCAGUUGCUGCGGUGUCCGAAUCUUCCCCUCGGACCUUGAAAAUCCAGGAGAGGGCCACGUGGAGGUGUCGCGCCGGUUCGUACCCAUAUCCGCAGCAGGUCUCUAAGGUAGAGAGCCGUUAGUCGAUAGACUAAUGUAGGUAAGGGAUGUCGGCAAAUUGGAUCCGUAACUUCAGAAUAAGGAUUGGCUCUGAGGAGCGGGACGUGUUGAGCUUGGUCGGGAAGCGGGUCUGGCUGACGUGCCGGGCCUGGGCGAGGUAAGCGCUCGGCGUUCUCGCGCCGAACACGGGAUCCGAGCUCGAUCCCGUGCCUUGGCCUCCCGCGGAUCUUCCUUGCUGCAAGACUUCCGUGGCGGCGCGAGCCGUCGCGGUGGUCCUCUUCGGCCGCCAUUCAACUCUCAGCUCAGAACUGGCACGGACUACGGGAAUCCGACUGUCUAAUUAAAACAAAGCAUUGCGAUGGCCCUCGCGGGUGUUGACGCAAUGUGAUUUCUGCCCAGUGCUUUGAACGUCAACGUGAAGAAAUU